rnacentral:tRNA from 1 species
GGGCCCGUGGCGCAGCGGCUAGCGCACUUGUAUGGCAUACAAGGGGUCAGGGGUUCAAAUCCCCUCGGGUCCA